rnacentral:lncRNA from 1 species
CCAAAUCCAAUAAAGUAUUUAUAUUCAAGCUUUAUAAUGUAUCCUAAAGCCGGAUCUGUGAUCGGUGAUACACUAGCCUAUUCGAAUGCAUAGCAAGACACAUCAAAAUGGUCCAAGAAUCAAAUUAGAGAGCAACCAACUAAUGGGUAUGAUUUAUUUACAAAACUAAAAGUUAGUUUGUAUAAACAAAUCAAAACUUGAUCGAGAGAGUGAGAAGAUAGAACCUGUAAAUUCUUGAUCUCUAAUUUAGAAUGGAAGGAUGAGUAAGAAGUGUUGACUGUGUGUGUAUUUAUUGACAUUAUUUGGAACACGUUUUUGUUGAUUCCAAUAAUUUUAGUUAUACUUGUAAGUUGUAACUAAUUCAUGAUGAUUGACGAGAGACUUCCAUUUUAGUUAGAAUGGAAGGAUGAGUAAGAAGUGUUGAACUGUGUGUGUAUUUAUUGACACUAUUUGGAACACGUUUUUG